CUGGAAUCUCCAACAAGACUCUCUCAGACAAACAGAGGAAAACACAGAUGGAACCUUUACAACUAAAAUCCAGGAGAACAUCACUCUGUCAGACACUCAUGAUGGAUACAACAUCACAUGUUCUGCCAGAUAUCCUGUGAUUGGAGGAAACAAGACAGUAGAGACAGAAGUGACUCUCAUUGUUUCUUGUAAGUGAUCCUAUCAGCAGGUCAUGGUUCAGCUGUUUCUGAUCAAUAAAGUUCAUGUGUCUCAUUUUCCUCAGAUGCUCCUAGAAACACCUCAGCAUCCAUCAGUCCAUCAGGUUUGGUGCCAGCAGGUAUCUGGGUGGAGCUGAGCUGCUCCAGCAGAGCCAAACCUCCACCCAGAUUCACCUGGAUCUGGAUCAGCAAACAUGGAGCCAUUAAUGUGUCUGUGGGGCCGAUUUACAGCUUCAACGCCACUGAGCGAGGAAAAUAUCACUGUUUGGCCACAAAUCAUCUGGGGAAUGAGAGAUCAUCAGGGAUCGUUCUGAGGUUUGAAGUUUCGUCGCAGCAAUCUGAACACUGGGUGGAAAUUUGCACUGGAAUCAUUACCAUCAUCGUUCUUGUUGUCUGUAUUUGAAUUUCUUUCGCAGUGCUAUAGUUUGCUGGAGGAGAAAAAAGAGGACAGAUGCAGCCGUACCACGGCGACAGAUUGAAAAUAGUAAAGAGUCUACAAGAAGCACUAAAGAGGAAGAAAAAGAACAAACCCUCCAUUAUGGAGAGAUUCAGUUUCUAAAGCGAAGCCCUGAACCAUCCAACUGCAGAGUGGACGGUUCAGACACAGUCUACUCUCAGGUUAAAGUACUUGAGCCAGCAAGUCGUUUGAGGCAAAUGGCUGAUGACCCAGAAUGCCUCAAUGCUCAAGUAAGACAUUAGUGAUUUUAGAUUUAUUUUUAUUUCUACUGGUUUCUGUGUAGUUUAAUCCUUUUCAAAAUACCUCAUGUACAAAAAGGGCACCUGAAUGUGUGAAUGCAAUACUUACACUUCCUCAACAGGAAACUUGAACUUUCACACUUCAGCUUUUCUUUUUCUUUUUUCAGAAGAAUAUACACAGAUGUAUGCAAA